CCCGCAACGAGCGCAACCCUUAUCCUUUGUUGCCAGCGAUUCGGUCGGGAACUCAAAGGAGACUGCCGGUGAUAAACCGGAGGAAGGUGGGGAUGACGUCAAGUCAUCAUGGCCCUUACGAGUAGGGCUACACACGUGCUACAAUGGCGCAUACAAAGAGAAGCGACCUCGCGAGAGCAAGCGGACCUCACAAAGUGCGUCGUAGUCCGGAUCGGAGUCUGCAACUCGACUCCGUGAAGUCGGAAUCGCUAGUAAUCGUGGAUCAGAAUGCCACGGUGAAUACGUU
rnacentral:rRNA from 1 species